rnacentral:rRNA from 1 species
CAGUAGCCGCGGGAAAACGUAGGGUGCAAGCGUUAAUCGGAAUUACUGGGCGUAAAGCGUGCGCAGGCGGUUUGUUAAGACAGAUGUGAAAUCCCCGGGCUUAACCUGGGAACUGCAUUUGAAACUGGCAGGCUAGAGUCUUGUAGAGGGGGGUAGAAUUCCAGGUGUAGCGGUGAAAUGCGUAGAGAUCUGGAGGAAUACCGGUGGCGAAGGCGGCCCCCUGGACAAAGACUGACGCUGAGGUACGAAAGCAUGGGGAGCAAACAGGAUUAGAUACCCCUGUAGUCUCUGUCUCUUAUAC